rnacentral:rRNA from 1 species
UGGGGAAUUUUGGACAAUGGGCGAAAGCCUGAUCCAGCAAUGCCGCGUGUGUGAAGAAGGCCUUCGGGUUGUAAAGCACUUUUGUCCGGAAAGAAAAUCCUUGGCUCUAAUACAGUCGGGGGAUGACGGUACCGGAAGAAUAAGCACCGGCUAACUACGUGCCAGCAGCCGCGGUAAUACGCAGGGUGCAAGCGUUAAUCGGAAUUACUGGGCGUAAAGCGUGCGCAGGCGGUUUGCUAAGACCGAUGUGAAAUCCCCGGGCUCAACCUGGGAACUGCAUUGGUGACUGGCAGGCUAGAGUAUGGCAGAGGGGGGUAGAAUUCCACGUGUAGCAGUGAAAUGCGUAGAGAUGUGGAGGAAUACCGAUGGCGAAGGCAGCCCCCAUGGGCCAAUACUGACGCUCAUGCACGAAAAGCGUGGGGAGCAAACAGGAUUAGAUACCCUGGUAGUCCACGCCCUAAAACGAUGUCAACUAGUUGUUGGGGAUUCAUUUCCUUAGUAACGUAGCUAACGCGUGAAGCUGACCGCCUGGGGAGUACGGUCGCAAGAUUAAAACUCAAAUGAAUUGACGGGG